CUCAGAGUGAACGCUGGCGGCGUGCUUAACACAUGCAAGUCGAACGAUGAAGCUCUAGCUUGCUAGAGUGGAUUAGUGGCGCACGGGUGAGGAAUAUAUAGCUAAUGUGCCCCAUAGAGGGGGAUAACAGUUGGAAACGACUGCUAAUACCCCAUACUCCUUCUUCUCAUAAGGGAAGUCGGGAAAGUUUUUUCGCUAUGGGAUCGGGCUAUACGGUAUCAGCUUGUUGGUGAGGUAACGGCUCACCAAGGCUAUGACGCCUAUCUGGUCUGAGAGGAUGAUCAGACACACUGGAACUGAGACACGGUCCAGACUCCUACGGGAGGCAGCAGUGGGGAAUAUUACACAAUGGAGGCAACUCUGAUGUAGCAACGCCGCGUGGAGGAUGACACAUUUCGGUGCGUAAACUCCUUUUAUAUAGGAAGAUAAUGACGGUACUAUAUGAAUAAGCACCGGCUAACUCCGUGCCAGCAGCCGCGGUAAUACGGAGGGUGCAAGCGUUACUCGGAAUCACUGGGCGUAAAGCGCGCGCAGGCGG
rnacentral:rRNA from 1 species